CAGUAGCCGCGGUAAUACGGAGGGUGCAAGCGUUAAUCGGAAUUACUGGGCGUAAAUCGCACGCAGGCGGUCUGACAAGUCAGAUGUGAAAUCCCCGGGCUUAACCUGGGAACUGCAUUUGAAACUGUCAGGCUGGAGUCUUGUAGAGGGGGGUGGAAUUCCAGGUGUAGCGGUGAAAUGCGUAGAGAUCUGGAGGAAUACCGGUGGCGAAGGCGGCCCCCUGGACAAAGACUGACGCUCAGGUGCGAAAGCGUGGGGAGCAAACAGGAUUAGAUACCCCAGUAGUCCCUGUCUCUUAUAA
rnacentral:rRNA from 1 species